AUGAAAGAAAGACAUGAACAUCUUGGAUGACAUGGGGGUGAGUAAAUUAUCAGGAAAAUUUUAUUUGAAAGUGGACUAAUCCUUUAAUGCACUAGCUAACAUGAACCAGUGGUGUAAAGUAAAAUUUCUCCCAAAAAUAAAAAUUCUGUCAUCAUUUGCUCACCCUCAUGUUGUUCCAAACCUUCUUUCUUCUGUUGAACACAAAAUAAGAUAUUUUGAAGAAUGUAGCCAUUGACCAUACUAUGGAAUUCAAAUGCUCCCAUCAACUGUCUGGUAACCAAUUUUCUUCAAAAUAUAUUAUUUUGUAUUCAACAGAAGAAAGAUACUCAUACAGAUUUGAGACAACUUGAGGGUCAGUAAUUUUCAUUUUUGGGUUUUUUUUCUCUUUGGCUAAUUUGUAGGUUUACUGAGUGUCAAAGAUAUUAGCAACUUUUCUCUAUUGACUGCAUUUUUAAACGGGUAUAUGUACACUUUACUACAAUACAUUUUUGUGUUUAGUAAUGCAAUUACUUCUUACAUUUUCUGCAGCAGUUUAUUUUCAUCUACAAAACAAAUGACAUUGCCAUCUACAGGGCAUUGAAGGUACUAUAUCUUGUUCAUUUUGCCCUUACCCAAACUUGUCAACAGGACUACUUUAUGUGAAUGUGAGUGCAUUAGCAGAUAGUUGCUGAACCGCAGGUAUUUCAUAUAUGAGCUGAGGACAUGCCUGCAGCCGGUGAUGAGGAUGAAACCAGCAUGUCCAGUGCAAGUAGGCUUUGACUAUUUCAUUUCACUUAACAUUAUUUUAUCUCUUAUGAAGAGACCUUGGUUUACUUAAGGCCUUUUUGAGCACUUGAGCUUAACUGAGACUUGAGUGUUUGUAGACGUUUAUUGCAAUAUUGAGGCGUUCAAUUUUAUUUUGAAUAAUUAUUAUUUAAAAUAAACGUGAUUGCUCUCCUCACAAAUCAACUGUUUCUUGUUUUUCUCUGGCAUGACUCUUAGGUGUUGAGGACUACUGGAUCUUUCAGCCUACAUUCAGUACGAGUAAAAUACUUAAGUACUGUUCAAAUCAGAUACUCUAACCCCCGGUUUCAUAGGCUUAAUCAAAGCCCUGUCUGUGAAACCGGGCCUAAGAUUUUUACUCAAGUCGUAUUGGAAUUGAGGACUUGUAAUGGAGUCAUUUUCAUUGUAAGGUAUCUGUACUUUUACUCAAGUAUGGUUUCCAGGUAUUCUUUACAACUCUGACAUGAACUAUGAGCAAUGUAUUUUUAAAGCAUUUAUUAAUCUUUGAUAAUGUUAGUAAAACAUAAAUGUUCAUUUUUUGUUCGUUAGUACACAGUGCAUUAACUAAUGCAUACCAUUUUUUAAAUGCUGAAAUUAACAUUGACUAAUAUUAAUAAAUGAUGUAGAAGUACUCCUCAUUGGUAGUUCAUGUUAACUAGUGAAGUUAAAAAAUGAAACCUUAUUGUUAAAGUGUCAACAUUUCUGUACAUACAUAUAUAGAAAUACAGCAAGGAACAUGACAUUGUUUACAUAAUGUUUAUGUACUUCAAUAUAUUGAUUUAGGGUUACCAAGUCAAGACCCCACAGACCGCCCUCCGCCUGGGUGCUAUUUUUAGACUUUAUUUAAGACUAUUUUAAUACUUCCUGGCAUAGGGAUGAUUUAACACAUGGCAAUCCGAUACCAUCCCUGUUGUAGCCUUUGACAUUUUAGGCCUUCCUUUGGUGUUGGGUAUGAAAAGCAAGAGAGAGAAAGAGACAGUAGAGGUGAGAGUGGGCGUGUGGCGGCACGACGGGCUGAAACAGACUAGUCAGAGAUUGGGGAAGGUCAUUGGUGUUAUAUAACACUGGCAUUUUGACUAGCAAAAAAUAACCAGCAGUGAGGUCACCAGAAAAGGUUACAGAGAGUGUGAUGAUAUUCUGUAAAGCAUCUAAUGAAGAAGGUCUGAGUUUACUGAUGUUUAAAACUAUGAAACAGAUGGCAGUGUCCAGGAAACAGUCAUGAGCCUCAUUGGAGCUCUAAUGUUCAAGUCAAGGUUUACUGCUGAUGUCCACCUACAAGAACAGGAGCAGAAUGGAACUCUCUGAGGACAUCCAGGUUUCUACAGUGACCUUUCUUUUAAGGAGCAACAUAUGACCUUUAUAUCCAAGACACCAAUUCCAUCCAGGGAUUUUAGGCUAGACAGGAGAGGAAAAGGUCAAGGAUGCUGAGCUGUGGUUUCAUCUCCUGUCUUCCAACUCAGAUUUUGAUGCCUUGAAUAUUGACUCAUUCUUUUUAUAUUUUUUCUGCUGCUUGAUCUUUUCAGUAUUUAUAAAAUAUAUAACAAAGGUCCCUCUAGUAAUUUUUCAAUGAAAUAGGCUGUAAAACAGAUCAAAUAUUAUAUAUGGAUGUUAAAAUGAAAAUGUUGUUUAAAGAUAAAAAAUAAUCUGCAUUAUCACCAUUAGUAUUCAUUAUGCAUGCACAUGACAGGACACAUUAAUCUGGAGAUGCACAAAGUGAUAGUAAUGUACAGAUCAUGCUAUUGAUCAUCUAAAAUGCUCAUUCAUUUUCCCUAAGUUUAGGUCUCUAUGUUAAUGCCAGUCAAAAUCAUUGAAAAAAUUACAUUAGACUACCAAAAAUGUGCUAAAGUUGUACUUUGUUUUUAAUCUAUAAGUGAAUCCUGAUUAUAUUUUGCAGAGGGUGCUGAUCCCAGUCUACCUAAAGUGCUCUCAGUGAAGAAGGGUCACAAAAGGUCAGCAAUGCUGUGGUCAAGCAGGGCAUCGCCCCUGCACAAAUGCCAUGUUAUCAGAGAUGCACUGACGGAUGUACUAUAGUUAUGAAUUGCUUAAAAACAUGUCUUUUGUUUAGGUGCAGCAGUGUCAUGCAUGGACUUGCUUUUGUUUUGGUACAAUCUCGACAUGCAUGAACUUACUUUGGGG